rnacentral:rRNA from 1 species
GACGAACGCUGGCGGCGUGCUUAACACAUGCAAGUCGAACGGAAAGGCCCUGCUUUUGUGGGGUGCUCGAGUGGCGAACGGGUGAGUAACACGUGAGUAACCUGCCCUUGACUUUGGGAUAACUUCAGGAAACUGGGGCUAAUACCGGAUAGGAGCUCCUGCUGCAUGGUGGGGGUUGGAAAGUUUCGGCGGUUGGGGAUGGACUCGCGGCUUAUCAGCUUGUUGGUGGGGUAGUGGCUUACCAAGGCUUUGACGGGUAGCCGGCCUGAGGGGGUGACCGGCCACAUUGGGACCGAGAUACGGCCCAGACUCCUACGGGAGGCAGCAGUGGGGAAUAUUGCACAAUGGGCGGAAGCCUGAUGCAGCAACGCCGCGUGCGGGAUGACGGCCUUCGGGUUGUAAGCCGCUUUCGCCUGUGACGAAGCGUGAGUGACGGUAAUGGGUAAAGAAGCACCGGCUAACUACGUG